ACACACACAACACACACACACACACACCCACACACACACACACGACUAAGUUUAAGCACUUAAAACAGACAUUUUUAAGAGCAUUUCAAAGGAGAGUAACAAGUUACAACCUACUGUAUGCUCAAACACAGAUUAGGCUACAGAGACGGUUUCUACUUGACAGUAUCUAUUUUAAACCACCCAUUCAACAAUCAACUCAAAAACUUUUCAAGUCUUUCAGUUACAUGAGAUGUUAUUACCCCUAACCUAACACAGCCAACACAGGGCUCUUUAGAACUUGUCAGUCAAACCACAUUGACUCAUUAAAAAGACACACAAUAGAAUAUUUCUAGAUGACCAUAAGCAUUGCUCAAAAACAUAUACUUUACCAGUGAUCACACUGAUGGUUUCUGGCAUAGUCAUUGUCAUAGAGUAAGCUCAACGAAUGAAUGAAGCCUGGAGUCCAGCGUAAUUUAUACGCUAAUAUGUGGCUCCACCCCGUUUACAUGAACCCACCACAACUAUUUCUCUCUGACGUCGAGCAAUUUCUUUUGAGAAAGUGGAUAGUCUGGAAAGAGGGAAAGGGAAAAGGCGCGGCUAGGCUCUUACGAAGCAUUCUAGAGAUUAUAUAGAUUAUAUAGAUUAUAUAGGGGUAUUACUGCGUGUAUAGAGAUUAUAUAGGGGUAUUACUGCGUAUAUAGAGAUUCUAUAGGGGUAUUACUGCGUGUUGGCACGUGGAGAGGGUAGAGGAAAGAGAAAUGUGCCCUUGUUUCGCAAUCCAUUUCACCAAAGAGAAAAAUGUGUAGGCUAUUCAACAACCUAUACUGAGCAUGGGGUGUACAAAUCACUUCUUUAUUUCGGAAUAACAAGAUAAAGCUUAGAACUGUGACAUUUCUCAAGGCGUGCCUCAUUGAAUGUGUUGAGGAAAUUCCCUUUCACCAUGCUGCCCUAUACAGGCAGAUCAGGAAAGAUGGCCAGGACUUAGUCAGCAUUGCUUACAUAACCUCAAGGGAAAGUAUCGGGAUUUUAUACGGGCUAGCCUGAAAAGCUAAGCUAUUUCUCACAUGCUCUUAUGGUUAAAUUCCUAUAGUACUGUUUUUGCAUAAAUAGGGGAAAUAGUUUAUGUAUGAUAUCAGCCAAAUGCAAAAUAAAGAAAGGAAAGUCAUGGCU